AUGGAGGGGGCCAAAAGAGCGGCCGCCGUUGCCGCCCUGUGCAUGCUCAUCCUCCUCACGCUGGCAAAGCCAUCCCAUCAGCAGCUCUCCGACGCCGUCUGCGAGUGCUACCGGCAGUGCUACUCCGGGUGCAAGGACAUCACCUGGCCGCGGGUCUGCAAGGUCGAGUGCGCCGGCGGCUGUGGCGGUGCUAACGGCUACGACAAGGUUGGCUCCUGCAUGAUCGCCUGCAGCAUGGACCCCGUCUGCGGCCUGUCAACGGCCCCCCUCGAUCCAGCUGACGUUGUGGCUUGUAACAAUGAGUGCAAAAAGAGGUGGGGUGGCCAUGGACACGCCAACUAA
rnacentral:rRNA from 1 species